CCACUGGACCACCAGGGGUCCCCACAGCCUUUUGUAGUGUUGUACAAAACAGCUCCCUUUAGGGUUCCUUUCUCUGGCCUCCUGGUGUCUGGCUGGGUGUGCUUGGAGAGCACAAACCCAUGCCCUUGUUUGUGGUUUCCUUCAGCUUUGCCCCAGGUUCCCACAGACCGAGGGCACCACUCAGUCACCCCUGGCCCUUCAGUGCACUUGCAGAACUCACAGGUACCUUGGUGGAGCAAGAGCUUGUCAUGUUUGCUUCCCUUCCCUUGCCCAGAGAAUUCACCCAACCAAAGCCAACAGGAGUUUUCCCUGCAGGGAAGGCCAGAGCUGCCACCAAGGAGGGAAGCAGAGCCCCGUGGCUGUGGGAAGGACUGACCCUUUGCAGGCUGACAACAUGACAAUGCCAUGACCCAGAUGGGAGUGCAGAGCAGGUCUGGACUGACAGGACAGUCAUCCAUGACCACAUCAGCCUGACAUUCCCUGAUGAUGGCAACGGGAUGAACUCGGAGCAGCUGCACAAAAUACUAAGGUGGAGAACCCCUCUCUGUAGGAAUUCCAGCUCCUCCUUCUGUUAGUGCUC
rnacentral:lncRNA from 1 species